GGGUGUGUAGCUCAGUGGCAGAGCACAGUCCUGAUAAGACUGGGGUCGGGGGUUCGAUCCCUCCCACACCCA
rnacentral:tRNA from 1 species